GAUGAAGGAGGGAGGCGUGCCUAAUACAUGCAAGUCGAGCGAACAGACGAGGAGCUUGCUCCUCUGACGUUAGCGGCGGACGGGUGAGUAACACGUGGAUAACCUACCUAUAAGACUGGGAUAACUUCGGGAAACCGGAGCUAAUACCGGAUAAUAUAUUGAACCGCAUGGUUCAAUAGUGAAAGACGGUUUUGCUGUCACUUAUAGAUGGAUCCGCGCCGCAUUAGCUAGUUGGUAAGGUAACGGCUUACCAAGGCAACGAUGCGUAGCCGACCUGAGAGGGGAAUCGCCCACACAGAACCGGAAAAACGUUCCGGACUCCUACGGAAGGCAGCGUAGGGGAAGCUUCCACAAGGGGCGAAGGCUGGACGAGGCAACGCCGCGGGGUGGAUAAAGUUCUUCGGAUCGUAAAACUCUGUUAUUGGGGAAGAACAAAGGUGUAAGUAACUAGGCACUUCUGGAGGUACCUAAUCAGAAAGCCACGGCUAACUACGUG
rnacentral:rRNA from 1 species